AACUCCAAGCUGGAGGUGGAGGUGACCCAGUCUGAGCAGCAGGGUGAGGUGGCCCUUAGCGAUAACCGCUGCAAGCUGGUUGAGCUGGAGGGCACCAUGCAGAAGGCCAGGCAGUACCAGGAGGUGAUGAACUCCAAGCUGGGCCUCAAUGUGAAGGCUGCCUCUUCUUGCCACCUUCUAGAUGGCUGUGUGAUGGCAUCAGUGCUGUGAAUAUCUGUGAGUAAUUCUGGCCCUGAAGGGAGACUCUGAGGUUUGCCAGUGGGACGAAUUUUUUAGCUCUGAGGGUGGAAAUACCAAGGAAGUGGUUCCAUUCAUUUACAGCUGCACAGCUACAAAGAGGGAGCCAAUUGACAAGUCUUGAGUGGAAUCAUUCCUUACGCCAGACUUGUCAGAGUGGCAGUCUUAUUAUCCUCACCAUAGUGAAGGAACCAGAAUGUGUCACCUCAAAAUAUGUAUCUUUGACAUAAAUAUAUAUCUUUUCUUUGAGACAGGGUCUCACUCUGUCACCCAGGCUAGAGUGCAGUGGUGUGAUCAUGGCUCACUGCAGCCUUGACCUCCUGGGCUCAAGCCAUCCUCCCACCUCAGCCUCCUGAGUAGCUAGGUCUACAGGUGUGUACCACCACACCUGGCUAAUUUUUUUCUAUUUUUUUUCGUAGUGAUAGUGUAUUAGUCCGUUCUCUUGCUACUCUAAAGACAUACGUGAGAGUAGGUAAUUUAUAAAGGAAAGAGGUUUAAUCAACUCAUAGUUCAUCAUGGCUGGGGAGGCCUCAGGAAACUUACAAUCAUGACAGAACGUGAAGGGGAAGCAAGGCACCUUUUUCACAAGGUGGCAGGAAGUAGAAGUGUCAGCAGGGGAGAUGCCAGAUGCUUAUAAAACCAUCAGAUCUCAUGAGAACUCACUCAUCUUCACGAGAUCAGCAUGUGGGAAACUGCCCCAGUGAUCCAAUCACUUCUCACCAGGUCCCUCCCAUGACAUAUAGAGACAAAGGUCUUUCUAUCCUCUCCGCUUUCCUGCCUAAAGCCAAGAUGUAAAUUCUCCUUACAACCAUUAUGAGCUUAGAGGUGGCGCCAGAGGAAUGUGGGUAGACUUUACUCCAUUAGUUUAUCCAUAAAUUUACCUUCCCACCUUUUCUCACUUUUGGAAGCCUUAAACUGCUUUUCUUUGUCUUGUCAUUUCUCUAAAAUUGAUUAUUCCUUGUCGAAGAUGAAUAUACAGUUGGCCCUCUGAAUCUGUGGAUUCAACCAACUGCAGGUUGAAAAUAUUUGGAAAAAAACUGUACUGAACACGCACAGACUUUUUUUCUUUUCAUGACUCCCUAAACAAUACAACUAUUCACAUAGCAUUUACAUUGUAUUAGAUAUUAUAAGUAAUCUAGAGAUGAUUUAAAGUAUAUGGGAGGAUGUGUAUAGGUUAAAUGCAAAUACUAUGCCAUUUUAUAUAAGAGACAUGAACAUCUUCAGAUUUUGAUAUUUGCAG
rnacentral:lncRNA from 1 species